UACGUAGGGUGCGAGCGUUAAUCGGAAUUACUGGGCGUAAAGCGUGCGCAGGCGGUUUUGUAAGCCAGAUGUGAAAUCCCCGGGCUCAACCUGGGAAUGGCAUUUGGGACUGCAAGGCUUGAGUGCGGCAGAGGAGACUGGAAUUCCUGGUGUAGCAGUGAAAUGCGUAGAUAUCAGGAGGAAUACCGAUGGCGAAGGCAGGUCUCUGGGCUGUUGCUGACGCUGAGGCGCGACAGCGUGGGGAGCAAACAGG
rnacentral:rRNA from 1 species